UUGGAAGGAUUUGGGCUAGAGACAGGUGAGGAGCAUUAAGCUCCACCGCCUGGUUCUGACCAAGCUUCCCUCGUUAGCGAGUAAAAGACCGGUUGAAGAUGUUCUGUCUUGUUUUCGUUCUUCAUGAGGAAUAAGUCUCUAAACUAGCGGGGCCUGCGGAAACACAGACUCAACAUUUAGACUCCACCCCUACCUGAUUAUGAACCUGAUCCCACCUGGGAGGUCCCAGAGGCCAAUAAGAGGGCCUGGCAGACCACAGAGAAGGAGGCUUGAGGGGAGGCUUGAGAGACAGGCAACAGGGUGGUGGAGUGAAUGGUGUCAGGCUGCGGCGCCUGCAAGCCCGGAGGGCUGGUGUGGGCCGUGAACGAGGAGUCGACACCAGCGAGCAGGGAAGCGGAGGGAGCGGUCCGGCUGCUGGAGUAACUGGAGGCCAGAUCACGCUUCUGCGGGGAACUAGAGGCGGCGAGACAGUGCUCUACCUCCCGCGGCGAGACGGGCCGGUGCCGAUUGGCAUGUUACAAGGAAGCGGUGGGCAGAGUUAAGAGCUCUGCCCACCCAGGGUAAGUCUCCUGACUUAUUCCACUCUAAUGAACGGUAGCCGCUAAAAGAGUAGUGACUGUUGCUGCCCUUUUUUUUUCCAGCACACCGGAGCGGAGAACACGGACAGGAAGGCGAGGACGCCGCCGGGUUUCCCCCUUCUACAUCGCUUGCCUGCAUUUCUAAUUUUUAGUGACUUUUAUUCUGUGGCGGACGCCACUGGAUGUUUAAUGUUGUGUUUUAUUGAUUUUUAUUGUGUUGUUCCCUGGCCAGGGUUGUUUUAAUUCAUUUUAUAUUUUUAACUGUUUAAGUAUAAUAAAUUAUAUUGUAGUCAUACAGUUUUUUAAUUCGAGGCAUUCCCUUGGCUGUUCCACUGCUCCGUCUGUUUUUGAGGAGGGUUUCCCUCCUUUAGUAACACUUGUGCAAAAAUCUCCUUCACCUCGGUUACAUAAGUGGCGUUGUCGACAGGAUACGGAAGUGCAGUUGGUUGUAGGGCUGCUCGAUUAUGGCAAAAAUGAUAAUCACGAUUAUUUUCACUGAAAUUGAGAUCUCGAUUAUUUGACGAUAUUUAUUUAACAAUAACAAUGUAUUGAUGUUAAGAGAAUUUUUAUUUUAGUUAAAUCAUUAAAGUAUAAUCAAGUAGAAACAAGUAUGCCUUAUAAUCAAGUGUUUAUAUAUUUUCACACGGUAAAGCUUACUGUUGAAAAGAACACAAUGUAUUCCUUGCUUAAGUGUGUGAGAUGUUUGACAAAGACAGGAUAUACAUGCAUUCUUUACUUCAGUGUCUGAGAUGUCAGAUAAGCAUGAAUACUGCUGUGUCGUUGUUUUUCAGUUUGUGUGCAGAAGUUAGAUAGCUAAGACAAUGCCUGAGCUCUCCCCUCUUCAGUUGAAAGAGGAAGUACUAUGUAACCCAUUUUGCCUUAUAAAUAAAGCGAGUAAACGGUGCUCGGUGUGUUAGUCUGCUCAGAGACUCUCACCCGUGCGCACGUCUUUGAAACUCUGA